rnacentral:rRNA from 1 species
UACGUAGGGGGCAAGCGUUGUCCGGAAUCACUGGGCGUAAAGAGCUCGUAGGCGGCUCGUUGCGUCGGCUGUGAAAACCCGCAGCUCAACUGUGGGCUUGCAGCCGAUACGGGCGGGCUGGAGUUCGGUAGGGGAGACUGGAAUUCCUGGUGUAGCGGUGAAAUGCGCAGAUAUCAGGAGGAACACCGGUGGCGAAGGCGGGUCUCUGGCCGAUACUGACGCUGAGGAGCGAAAGCGUGGGGAGCGAACAGG